CCCAGACCAUCUCUAGGUCCAGGCUUAGUUCUCCCACGGGUGUGUGGUGACUGGAAGGGUUUCUGUUAUAGGGCUAGUAAAAGACUGGUCACAGUUUUAGAAGAAACCAAAGAGUGUGAUCUACAGUGCGAGCUGUGGACCCCGCAGUUCCAGGUUAGACCAGGAGCAGACGCUGACCUCACACUUCUGAUAGGUAAAAGUGAGAAGUGGUUUUUUACCUGAAGUUAGGGGCACAGUUCAUCUUGCUACCAUGAUGGCCACCAGCCCUGCCUCAGCAGAGAACGGUCAUGAAAAUAAUCAGGAACUCUGAACUUCUGAGCGUCUGAGACUUCAGCAAGCAAAAAAUCCUCCAUUUAUUUAACAUGG